UACGGAGGAUCCAAGCGUUAUCCGGAUUCAUUGGGUUUAAAGGGUGCGUAGGCGGACUGAUAAGUCAGCGGUGAAAUCCCACGGCUCAACUGUGGAACUGCCGUUGAUACUGUUAGUCUUGAAUGCAGAUGAUGUGGGCGGAAUGUGACAUGUAGUGGUGAAAUACUUAGAUAUGUCAUAGAACACCGAUUGCGAAGGCAGCUCACAAAACUGUGAUUGACGCUGAUGCACGAAAGCGUGGGGAUCAAACAGG
rnacentral:rRNA from 1 species